rnacentral:rRNA from 1 species
UACGGAGGAUGCGAGCGUUAUCCGGAUUUAUUGGGUUUAAAGGGUGCGUAGGCGGGCUGUUAAGUCAGAUGUGAAAUCCCGCGGCUCAACCGCGGAACUGCAUUUGAAACUGUGCUUCUUGAGUGCUGGAGAGGCAGACGGAAUUCCUAGUGUAGCGGUGAAAUGCGUAGAUAUUAGGAGGAACACCAGUGGCGAAGGCGGUCUGCUGGACAGCAACUGACGGUGAGGCGCGAAAGCGUGGGGAGCAAACAGG